rnacentral:rRNA from 1 species
UGAUGCAGAGUAAAACUCAAAAAACGGACUCAGUUCGGAUUGAAAGGCUGAAAUUCGCCUUCAUGAAGCUGGAAUUGCUAGUAAUGGCAGGUCAGCAUACUGCCGUGAAUACGUUCCCGGGCCUUGUACACACCGCCCGUCACACCAUGAGAGUUGGAAAUACCCGAAGCCUGUGAGCUAACUUUGCGGAGGCAGCAGUCGAAGGUAGAGCCAAUGAUUGGGGUGAAGUCGUAACAAGGUAUC